AUCGAACGCUGGCGGCAGGCCUAAUACAUGCAAGUCGAGCGGAGCGUCGGAAGGGCGAUUAAUGACGAGGAAGCUGCCGGUUCGUGGGGGACAACGUCCGGAGACGGGAGCUAAUACCGCAUACUUUCAGAUGAGUCUGGGGCGGAUAAGCUAGUUGGUGCGGUAAAGGCCUACCAAGGCGACGAUCCAUAACUGGUCUGAGAGGAUGAUCCGUCACACUGGAACUGAGACACGGUCCAGACUCCUACGGGAGGAAGCAGUGGGGAAUAUUGGACAAUGGGCGAAAGCCUGAUCGAGCAAUGCCGCGUGAGUGAAGAAGGUUUUCGGAUUGUAAAGCACUUUAGGUUGAGAGGCGUUACCAACAGAAUAAGCCACGGCUAACUACGUGCCAGCAGCCGCGGUAAUAC
rnacentral:rRNA from 1 species